rnacentral:tRNA from 1 species
CAGAUUAGAGCUUGGUAAAAGCGUCUUACUUACAUUAAGGGGUUAACUGUGAAACUCAGUUUAGUUUGA